rnacentral:rRNA from 1 species
AAUGAACGUUGGCGGCGUGGAUUUGGCAUGCAAGUCGAGCGAUAACCCCGCAAGGGGGGUCAGCGGCGAAAGGGACAGUAAUGUGUAGAUUAUCUGCCCUCAGGUCCUGGAUAGCUGCGGGAAACUUCAGGUAAUACCUGAUAACAUCUCCGGAUCAAAGGUGUGAUUCCGCCUGAGGAUGAGUCUGCAUCCUAUUAGCUAGUUGUUGGGGUAAUGGCCUACCAAGGCAUUGAUGGGUAGCAGGUGUGAGAGCACGACCUUCGUCAUUGGGACUGAGACACUGGACAGACACAGAAGGAUGGCUGCAGGCGAGAAUCUUAGGCAAUGGGAGCAAGGCUGAGCGAGCGAAGGCGCGUGUGGGAUGAAGGCCAUCGGGUUGUAAAACACUGUAAGAGGGGAUGAAAUGCAGGUGGAGUAGGACAACUGUUUGAAAUAGCAUAAGAGGAAGGACGGGCUAGUUCGUG